rnacentral:lncRNA from 1 species
UGGCCUAGAAACACAACCAUUUGGUGUUUGUGGGCCAAUGUUUUAAUAAGGGCUAGAAACUUUGUAAAACUUCAGUUAACUAAUCUGUGACAAACAACUUUAGUUCCAUUGGGUAUGUGCUGAAAGUAUAAUUGCUUCUAUAAAGGAAGAUUUCAGGUUUGAUUUGUUUUCUUAUAAGGAACAAAAAGCAGAUUUUAAAGACAACGUUUUGGCUGUGAAGGCUAAAUUAAUAUGUUGGUCCCAGCUAAUGUAAAACAGUUGAAUGAAUGUGACUUAUUACAUGAACACUUAUCAUAAGUCCCAUUGAUUCAAUGGAUCAUCUUGACCUGGACAAUUGGAUUUAGCCCAUAGCAUGUGUAUUACAUUCUAAAUUAUAUUGCAUGCCCUCAGCAACUUUUUAUUAGCAAUAUCCCAGGCUUCCCACUUUUUUUUCUUCAGACCAUGAUGUACAAUAUUCUCUACCAGUAGUCUACCUCCCUUUAAAUGUAAAUAAAUAAGUACAUUUAAUGCACCAGACCCUCUUUAGCACUAACUAAUGAUGAACCAGUACUUUUGUUUUGUAUCCCCUUCAACAAAAAACAAAACAAAUAAAAUCCAUCCUCUCCUGCCUAAUAGCAGAUUGUUUGUGUCUGUGGGUUUGUUAAAUUAUUUUUGGAGUAAGGAGCUCUAAUCUCUUUCACUACACCUUUUCCUUAUCCUGGUGCCCUCUAAGGAAAAGGUGUUGAGUGAACUCUUAAUUAGAUGUUUUAAUUUGCUGCAGCUGCAUUAAGAGAUUAGCCUGGAAACUGAUAUCAUGUGGUGUAUCAGAAGAUUCACUGCUGCUCAUGGUUACUUGGUGAUGGUAUUAGAAAGCUGUCUACCUACCCACCUGUAUCUACUGAGUGCUGCUCUGACAGAGAAUCUAUCAAGGCAUAGAAGUCUGAGAGAGUCUCCUAUCCUGGAAUCCUGAGAUCAUGUAUCACCUUGAACGUCCUGUGGGGUCAGGAAGGUAGGAUUAAUUUUUCGGAAAUAAGUU